AUGUAAAUCACCUGGGGAUCUUGUUAAAAUGCAGAUUCUGAUUCAUUAUUUCUGGAGUGGGGCCUGAGAAUCUGCAUUUCUAACAAGUUCCCAGGUGAUGCUGUU
rnacentral:pre_miRNA from 1 species